rnacentral:rRNA from 1 species
CCUANGGGGGGCAGCAGUGGGGAAUAUUGCGCAAUGGGGGAAACCCUGACGCAGCAACGCCGCGUGAAUGAUGAAGGCCUUCGGGUUGUAAAGUUCUGUCUUCUGGGACGAUAAUGACGGUACCAGAGGAGGAAGCCACGGCUAACUACGUGCCAGCAGCCGCGGUAAUACGUAGGUGGCAAGCGUUGUCCGGAUUUACUGGGCGUAAAGGAUGCGUAGGCGGACAUUUAAGUCAGAUGUGAAAUACCCGAGCUUAACUUGGGUGCUGCAUUUGAAACUGGGUGUCUAGAGUGCAGGAGAGGUAAGUGGAAUUCCUAGUGUAGCGGUGAAAUGCGUAGAGAUUAGGAAGAACACCAGUGGCGAAGGCGACUUACUGGACUGUAACUGACGCUGAGGCAUGAAAGCGUGGGGAGCAAACAGGAUUAGAUACCCCUNUANUC